rnacentral:ncRNA from 1 species
CAGCGCCUGCGCUGUUCUGGUAGCAUAACCAGAGCUUAAAAAGGAACCGUGUGUAAAUCACGGGCUGACGCGCAACUGUAAGUAACAUUAUGUUAACGCCAAACAGGCCCUUUGUCCGGAGUCGGGUGCGAAGGGCGGCAGUAAAGUUAUAAGCCAGGAUACUUGCCACAGAUGUUUAUGCACA